GCUUACGGCCAUAUCACAUUAAAAACACGGGUUCUCGUCCGAUCACCGAAGUUAAGCAACAUCGAGCCUAGUUAGUACUUAGAUGGGUGACCGCUUGGGAAACCUAGGUGCUGUAAGCA
rnacentral:rRNA from 1 species